GAAAGGGCGUACGGAGAAUGCCUGGGCACAGAGAGGCGAUGAAGGACGCAGCGAACAGCGAAAUGCGGCGGCGAGCGGUAAGCACGCGAUGACCCGCCGAUAUCCGAAUGGGGAAACCCCUCCGCUUUCGAAGCGGAGACCGCAUGACGACCGUCAUGACGGGGCAAUACGCAGGGAACUGAAACAUCUAAGUACCUGCAGGAAGAGAAAGAGAAGUCGAUUCCGUAAGUAGCGGCGAGCGAAAGCGGAGGAGCCCAAACCGGACAUAGUCCGGGGUUGUAGGACCGCCGAUAAAGAUGACAUGAAGAGUCAGGAGAAUCCCAUGGGAAGGGGAUCCGAAGAGGGUGAGAGACCCGUAUCCGAAGGCUUGACAUGCGUCGAGGCGGCACCUGAGUACGGCGGGGCACGUGGAAUCCUGCCGGAAUCAUCGGGGACCAUCCCGAAAGGCUAAACACUACUCUGUGACCGAUAGCGAACCAGUACCGUGAGGGAAAGGUGAAAAGAACCCCGGGAGGGGAGUGAAAGAGAACCUGAAACCGCAUGCCCACAAGAAGUCAGAGCCCGUCAAAGGGUGAUGGCGUGCCUUUUGUAGAAUGAGCCGGCGAGUCACGAUCAGCAGGCGAGGUUAAGCAGGAUAUGCGGAGCCGCAGCGAAAGCGAGUCUUAACAGGGCGGAAUAGUCUGAGGUCGUGGACCCGAAACCGGGUGAUCUAGCCAUGAGCAGGUUGAAGUCGGGGUAAGACCCGAUGGAGGACCGAACCGACCCCCGUUGAAACGUUGGCGGAUGACUUGUGGCUAGGGGUGAAAUUCCAAUCGAACCCGGAGAUAGCUGGUUCUCCCCGAAAUAGCUUUAGGGCUAGCGUCGCAGCGAGAGAGCCGUGAAGGUAGAGCACUGAAUAUGCGAUGGCCGCAUCCCGCGGUACUGAGCAUAAUCAAACUCCGAAUGUCACGGUGUCAUCUGCGGCAGUCAGACGGCGAGUGAUAAGGUCCGUCGUCAAAAGGGAAACAGCCCAGACCAUCAGCUAAGGUCCCAAAGUGCAUGCUAAGUGGAAAAGGAAGUGGAGACGUGCAGACAACUAGGAGGUUGGCUCAGAAGCAGCCAUCCUUCAAAGAGUGCGUAACAGCUCACUAGUCGAAUGACUCUGCGCCGAUAAUUUACCGGGGCUAAGCAUGACACCGAAGCUAUGGACAGGAAUGUGGUAGGGGAGCAUUGCAUGCAGCGGAGAAGCAUGACCGGAAGGGCAUGUGGAGCGCAUGGAAGAGAGAAUGCCGGCGUGAGUAGCGGCACGUGGGUGAGAAUCCCACGCACCGAUGGCCCAAGGUCUCCAGAGGAAGGCUCGUCCUCUCUGGGAUAGUCGGGACCUAAGGCGAGGCCGAAAGGCGUAGCCGAUGGACGACGGGUGGAUAUUCCCGUACCCGAUGUGUGGCGAUGGAGUGACGGAGAAGGCUCAGGCAACCAGCUGCUGGAAUAGCUGGGGCAAGCGAGAUACCUGCGCACCAGGGAAAUCCGGUGCGCAUAAGGGGAAGGCGCGAUGCAUACGGAAAGCUUCGGCAAGUACGGAAAAGCUGAGAGCAGGCUUCCAGGAAAAGCUUCUAGCACAACACACAUCGGCCCGUACCGAAAAUGGACACACAUGGGCAAGGAGAGAAUCCUGAGGUGAGCGAGAGAACUAUAGCUAAGGAACUCUGCAAAAUGACCCCGUAACCUAGGGAGAAGGGGUGCUCCAGAAAUGGAGCCGCAGUAAAACGGCCCAAGCGACUGUUUACCAAAAACACAGCUCUCUGCGAAGGCGCAAGCCGAAGUAUAGGGGGUGACGCCUGCCCGGUGCUGGAAGGUCAAGGGGAGCUGUCAGCGCAAGCGAAGCAGCGAGCCGAAGCCCCAGUAAACGGCGGCCGUAACUAUAACGGUCCUAAGGUAGCGAAAUUCCUUGUCGGGCAAGUUCCGACCCGCACG
rnacentral:rRNA from 1 species